rnacentral:rRNA from 1 species
CGAGAGGCUUCGGCAAUGGGGGAAAACCCUGACCGAGCGACGCCGCGUGCGGGAAGACAGCUUUCGGGUUGUAAACCGCUGUCAGGAGGGAAGAAUCCCCAAUGGUUAAUACCCGUUGGGUUGACGGUACCUC